AUGCUUAGGAAGAUGUUCCAAGGUGGUUCCUCUAAGAAGCAAGGACCCAGGAUUGCUAUGCGAGAUGCUGACGAGGAUCCACCAAGAGACGCUCCAGUACGGCCUUGCGAAUGGCCAUCGGAAAAUUUUAUGGACCAUGCGGGAAUUAAAGAAGAAUUCAAAGCAUAUUUGUGCAAUGCCAGUCUUGAGGAUUUUGAGGCUAACAAAUGCCCCCAGUAUCAUGAUCUCACAAGUUCAUUUGUGAGGAGGUUUGAGUAUUCAUCUUCGCGUAAUUCUCCUUCAGUCAUGUUUGAUCUUUAUGACAAAUCUUAUACCAUGGACUUAGAGGAUUUCACUUCUGCUUGCAAACUUCCAUCAUGGGGUAGUGUUAGGGAUCCCCCUAAAUCUGAAUUUAGAAACUUUCUUGCUAGUAUAACUGUGGGGGAAUCUAUAGAUAUAAUGCAGGCUACCACAGGGAGCAUUCACUUUCCUGCUAUACAUUAUUUUGCCCUCUUCAUCGGUAGAUGCAUAAAUGCUAAGGAUGAAGCAUGUCACAUGUGUGUCCCUGAUCUUAGCAUUCUUAGGAGUGCUGUGUUAGGAGACCAAUCUUAUCAUCUGGGAGCCAUUGUAGCUCGUAGGUUGCAUCAAAAUAGACAUAAUGGAGAUUUCUUUGGAGGAAUUUAUGCAACCCACUUAGCUCAUUUUCUUGAAAUAGACAUUCGUGAGGGUGAUACGGAGUUGCCUCCUGCAUAUUUGGAUUAUAACUCUAUGGCUUCGCACCAGUUUGUCGAGAGGCCUGAAUCACCUCUCUUAUAUCGUUUAAUUUUUGAUAAACGACGUGUUUUCCGUAUUACUCUCCCUGCUCCUGCCUUCUUUGAUUCACAGGCAAAAAGAACAUAUGUUAUUACCAGAGAGGAGGCAGAAGAGUACGAGAGGAGAGCGGAGGCAGCUCGACUCCACGCUGCAGCUCAGCAGGCGAUAACCGCUGCACAUCAGAAUGAUCCCAGCUAUCCUUCCUCAUCACAGUACGACCCCAACAACUAUUAUUAUGGAUAUCCGCCAGGCCAGCCGUGGCCAUAA
rnacentral:rRNA from 1 species